AUUGAACGCUGGCGGCAGGCCUAACACAUGCAAGUCGAGCGGAUGACGGGAGCUUGCUCCUUGAUUCAGCGGCGGACGGGUGAGUAAUGCCUAGGAAUCUGCCUGGUAGUGGGGGACAACGUUUCGAAAGGAACGCUAAUACCGCAUACGUCCUACGGGAGAAAGCAGGGGACCUUCGGGCCUUGCGCUAUCAGAUGAGCCUAGGUCGGAUUAGCUAGUUGGUGGGGUAAUGGCUCACCAAGGCGACGAUCCAUGACUGGUCUGAGAGGAUGAUCAGUCACACUGGAACUGAGACACGGUCCAGACUCCUACGGGAGGCAGCAGUGGGGAAUAUUGGACAAUGGGCGAAAGCCUGAUCCAGCCAUGCCGCGUGUGUGAAGAAGGUCUUCGGAUUGUAAAGCACUUUAAGUUGGGAGGAAGGGCAGUAAGUUAAUACCUUGCUGUUUUGACGUUACCGACAGAAUAAGCACCGGCUAACUCUGUGCCAGCAGCCGCCGUAA
rnacentral:rRNA from 1 species